ACGACACCCCCUCAGCUCUGAACGUCGGAGACACCGACAAUAGCAAAGCAUCCACUGACCCGCUCCUUGCUGGACUGGUGUCAGCAUUCAUCGUCGUCGCUGCCAUCGUUUCGGUCCUCAUAUUCCUCAAAUUCAGAAACACAAAUGAUGGUCCAGAGUUUCGCAGACUUCAAGAUCUCCCCAUGGAUGAUAUGCUGGAGGACGCCCCUCUCUCCAUGUACAGCUACUGAAAUCCCAGAUGUUCCUCAGACAUCUUCAGAGCACCCAACAUCCUCCGAUCAACAGAACACAGACACAUUUAAAUGGCUGAUGUGCUUCACAAACACUUCUGUACAGGACUAAAUGUAGCCUAAUACUCCACUUUAGUUGUUAAAUUCACCAUGGCCAUCAGUUCCUGGCUGUUGAGUAGUUUUCUUGCACUUUAUGUGAGGUUUGGGCUGCAGGAAUAUUUGGAGUAGAAUGUAGAAACUAAUUUUCAUUUUUGGGUGAAUUAUUCCUUGAAAGAAAUGUUCCAAGUUCACAACACA